rnacentral:lncRNA from 1 species
GAGUGGGAGGUAUAGUGGGUUUGGUACUUCCCUAGACCUAUGUACCCUCGUAGGAGCCAGAAUUGAGGCUGAUUUUCAUAGUGAUCUCUAGUGUUUGGAUUGAUAAUUUAAGGUCCUACUCUGAUGGCAAGGAAUAGGGAGACUUUUCUCAACGUGGGUAGAACGUUGGACUCCAUGUAGUUCACAUAGUUUAUGUCGGUUAUAAGAGACUCCCAAUGUGUGUGUCUAUACUAUUCUAUCUAAGAGGAAUAUAUUGUUUUGAAGAAUUUGUCAUGAUAAAGUUAUUAUUUUUCGAAAGAUUGAAAU